rnacentral:rRNA from 1 species
GGCCUAACACAUGCAAGUCGAGGGGUAUAUUUCUUCGGAGAUAGAGACCGGCGCACGGGUGCGUAACGCGUAUGCAAUCUACCUUUUACAGAGGGAUAGCCCAGAGAAAUUUGGAUUAAUACCUCAUAGCAUUGCAGGAUGGCAUCAUUCAGCAAUUAAAGUCACAACGGUAAAAGAUGAGCAUGCGUCCCAUUAGCUAGUUGGUAAGGUAACGGCUUACCAAGGCUACGAUGGGUAGGGGUCCUGAGAGGGAGAUCCCCCACACUGGUACUGAGACACGGACCAGACUCCUACGGGAGGCAGCAGUGAGGAAUAUUGGACAAUGGGCGCAAGCCUGAUCCAGCCAUGCCGCGUGCAGGAUGACGGUCCUAUGGAUUGUAAACUGCUUUUAUACGAGAAGAAACACUCCUUCGUGAAGGAGCUUGACGGUAUCGUAAGAAUAAGGAUCGG